AGUUCAGUUGGUUAGAACGCCUGCCUGUCACGCAGGAGGUCGAGGGUUCGAGUCCCUUCCGGAUCGC
rnacentral:tRNA from 1 species